UAUAUUUUGUUGGUUAUCCCGUCGUUUGCUGGUUAUGUGAUUUUUUCGAAAUUUAAAAAUCUGAUGCCAAAAAUGCCGUCAAAUGGCAAUAACAACAGCAACGAUGGCGCAUCGGCGUCGACGAAUGAAACCAAUAGAAAAAGAAGAAAUAAAAAGCGUUGAAUGUGAUUUAUUCGGUUUUUUGUUUCUU
rnacentral:ribozyme from 1 species